GUGUCAGCAGCCGCGGUAAUACGAAGGGGGCUAGCGUUGUUCGGAAUUACUGGGCGUAAAGCGCGCGCAGGCGGUUCUCCAAGUCAGUGGUGAAAGCCCGGAGCUCAACUUCGGAAUUGCCAUUGAAACUGUUGAACUAGAGUACGAGAGAGGUGAGUGGAAUUCCCAGUGUAGAGGUGAAAUUCGUAGAUAUUGGGAAGAACACCGGUGGCGAAGGCGGCUCACUGGCUCGUAACUGACGCUCAGGCGCGACAGCGUGGGGAUCAAACAGGAUUAGAAACCCCUGUAGUCC
rnacentral:rRNA from 1 species